rnacentral:rRNA from 1 species
GAUGAACGCUGGCGGCGUGCCUAAUACAUGCAAGUCGAGCGAAUGGAUUAAGAGCUUGCUCUUAUGAAGUUAGCGGCGGACGGGUGAGUAACACGUGGGUAACCUGCCCAUAAGACUGGGAUAACUCCGGGAAACCGGGGCUAAUACCGGAUAACAUUUUGAACCGCAUGGUUCGAAAUUGAAAGGCGGCUUCGGCUGUCACUUAUGGAUGUACCCGCGUCGCAUUAGCUAGUUGGUAAGGUAACGGCUCACCAAGGCAACGAUGCGUAGCCGACCUGAGAGGGUGAUCGGCCACACUGGGACUGAGACACGGCCCAGACUCCUACGGGAGGCAGCAGUAGGGAAUCUUCCGCAAUGGACGAAAGUCUGACGGAGCAACGCCGCGUGAGUGAUGAAGGCUUUCGGGUCGUAAAACUCUGUUGUUAGGGAAGAACAAGUGCUAGUUGAAUAAGCUGGCACCUUGACGGUACCUAACCAGAAAGCCACGGCUAACUACGUGCCAGCAGCCGCAGUAA